GACGAACGCUGGCGGCGUGCUUAACACAUGCAAGUCGAACGGAAAGGCCCUGCUUUUGUGGGGUGCUCGAGUGGCGAACGGGUGAGUAACACGUGAGUAACCUGUCCUUGACUUUGGGAUAACUUUAGGAAACUGGGGCUAAUACCGGAUAGGAGCUCCUGCUGCAUGGUGGGGGUUGGAAAGUUUCGGCGGUUGGGGAUGGACUCGCGGCUUAUCAGCUUGUUGGUGGGGUAGUGGCUUACCAAGGCUUCGACGGGUAGCCGGCCUGAGAGGGUGACCGGCCACAUUGGGACUGAGGUACGGCGCAGACUCCUACGUGAGGCAGCAGUGGAGAAUAUUACACAGUGGGCGGAAGCCUGAUGCAGAAACGCCGCGUGCGGGAUGACGGCCUACGGGUUGUAAACAGAUUUCGCAUGUAACGAAGCGUGAGUGACGGUAAUGGGUAAAGAAGCACCGGCUAACUACGUG
rnacentral:rRNA from 1 species